rnacentral:lncRNA from 1 species
AGGUGAGAUGUCUGGCCCAAAAUCCCAGAGCAAAUUAGUGGCAGAACCAGGCCAAGAGCACAUGUCCUGGUUUCUAACCCAGCAAUCCUUAUUAAAUACCAUGUUCCAAAUUAACAAAAGGGAGUAAUUUUCUUCCACAGCUUGAGAAAUUCAUCCAGGAUGCUGAGAAACCCUUCCUUGCCACUAAUGCUGUGAUGUAUUUGGUUGGAUUCUCCAUGGUACUUCUUCCUAGGAGUCGGAAAAGUGGGACAGACACUGUGACUUCCAAAUGGGACAAGGAUCCAACUGGACAUAGGCAGCCUCCCCAAGGAUGACCAGAUGCAGCUGAAGUCUCCCCAGAUUUAGGGGCCCCAUGUGUGUUCAGAGGCUUGAUGGACUCUCAGAUCUCGUUUAUGGUGACCCACAGAAGGUGACAAUCCCAGGACUAGCUCACCUUCUGAGGGAGGAGGAAGAGCAGCAAAGCGGGCGGAUGGAAAAUCUCCGAAAUAAGAUUGGAGUCCACCAGAAAGAAAAGCCUUCUGCAAAUGUCUCACAUCUGUGUCUCUCUGUGCACACUUUGGAGACAUCAUGAACUGUC